UGCAUCGCCCGGGAAUGGAACCCUUGACGCCCGCUUGAGAGGCGAGCAUUCUACCACUAAACCACCCAUGC